ensembl:lncRNA ULK4P3 ULK4 pseudogene 3
AUAGCUCCCGCCAAGUCCUCGGUGCCCCUUGCCAUUUUCCAGCCGCGCUCCCACGAGGGUCACGGCGGCGGGGAGAGGUGGAGCCGCGAGAGCUCGGCCGGGGGCCCCGCCUGGUGGUCGCGGCCAUGACAGCGGCUCGGGACUGGCUCCUUUUCCGCGCCCCUCCCGCCGGAGGUGAGGGGAAGAUGUCCAUGUCCGGGUUCAAGGGCAAACCGAAGUUACUGGCCUCUAUCUUCCAGGAGAACCAGGAGCCACAGCCGCGGCUCACGCCCCACCGCAACAUUAAGAUUACAAGUGGACACCUGAGUCAGCAGGACCUGGAAUCCCAGAUGAGAGAGCUUAUCUACACGACUCAGAUCUUGUUGUCACCCCCAUUAUUGACAAUCCAAAGGUGCAGAAAGCACUCUGACAAAUAAGGAAACAACCACCAUCGGUUAAAUUUGAUGCAAAAAUAUUGCAUCUACCAGCAUUUUCAGGUAGGAUCAUAAAGGACUUAUCGAACAUGUAGACUGUCUGUAUACAGAUACGAAUAU